CCUACGGGAGGCUGCAGUGAGGAAUAUUGGUCAAUGGUCGGGAGACUGAACCAGCCAAGCCGCGUGAGGGAUGAAGGUACAGAGUAUCGUAAACCUCUUUUGUCAGGGAACAAAGGCGGGGACGUGUCCCCGGAUGAGUGUACCUGAAGAAAAAGCAUCGGCUAACUCCGUGCCAGCAGCCGCGGUAAUACGGAGGAUGCGAGCGUUAUCCGGAUUUAUUGGGUUAAAAGGGUGCGCAGGCGGUCUGUUAAGUCAGCGGGCAAAGCCCGGGGCUCAACCCCGGCCCGCCGUUGAAACUGGCAGUCUCGAGUUGGAGAGAAGUAUGCGGAAUGCGCGGUGUAGCGGUGAAAUGCAUAGAUAUCGCGCAGAACUCCGAUUGCGAAGGCAGCAUGCCGGCUCCACACUGACGCUGAGGCACGAAAGCGUGGGUAUCGAACAGGAUUAGAUACCCCUGUAGUC
rnacentral:rRNA from 1 species